rnacentral:rRNA from 1 species
CCAUAUCAAUAAGCGGAGGAAAAGAAACCAACAGGGAUUGCCUCAGUAACGGCGAGUGAAGCGGCAACAGCUCAAAUUUGAAAUCUGGCGCACGCCCGAGUUGUAAUUUGGAGAGGAUGCUUCAGGGCAGCGGCCGGUCUAAGUUCCUUGGAACGGGACGUCAUAGAGGGUGAGAAUCCCGUAUGCGACCGGUUGGCACCCGUCACGUAGCUCCUUCGACGAGUCGAGUUGUUUGGGAAUGCAGCUCUAAAUGGGAGGUAAAUUUCUUCUAAAGCUAAAUACCGGCCAGAGACCGAUAGCGCACAAGUAGAGUGAUCGAAAGAUGAAAAGCACUUUGGAAAGAGAGUUAAAAAGCACGUGAAAUUGUUGAAAGGGAAGCGCAUGCCACCAGACUUGUCGGCGGUGUUCCGCCGGUCUUCUGACCGGUCUACUCGCCGCCGGCAGGCCAGCAUCAUCUGGGCGCGCCGGACAAAGGCACGGGGAAUGUGGCUCCUCGGAGUGUUAUAGCCCCGCGCACAAUACGGCGCCGCCCGGGUGAGGUCCGCGCUUCGGCUAGGAUGCUGGCGUAAUGGUGGUCUGCGGCCCGUCUUGAAACACGGACCAAGGAGUCUAACAUCUAUGCGAGUGUUCGGGUGUCAAACCCCUACGCGGAAUGAAAGUGAACGGAGGUGGGAAGCGUAAGCUGCACCAUCGACCGAUCCUGAUGUCUUCGGAUGGAUUUGAGUAAGAGCAUAGCUGUUGGGACCCGAAAGAUGGUGAACUAUGCCUGAAUAGGGUGAAGCCAGAGGAAACUCUGGUGGAGGCUCGCAGCGGUUCUGACGUGCAAAUCGAUCGUCAAAUUUGGGUAUAGGGGCGAAAGACUAAUCGAACCAUCUAGUAGCUGGUUCCUGC